rnacentral:tRNA from 1 species
GAUGCCAAGACGGUGACCACACCCCCCCUGGGAGCA